rnacentral:rRNA from 1 species
AUGCAGCAGCAGAAGCAAAACAGCAGCAGCAGCGAAGAAGCCGGCGGCAGCUGGAGCAGAUCGGGCGCCGUGGUGCUAUGCUCCAUGGUGAGCAUAGGCGAGGCAGAGGGAAUCCAGGGGUCGUCGGCGUCGAUCGGUACUUCGGGAAGGUCAAGGAGGCAGGGGCGCGUCGGGGAACGUGAAGGUCGAGGAAGCCGGGUAGCCGUGGAGGUCAGCGGGCACGGCAACGGGACCUUGCUGGUGGACGACCAGUGA